UACAGAGGGUGCAAGCGUUAAUCGGAAUUACUGGGCGUAAAGCGCGCGUAGGUGGUUUGUUAAGUUGGAUGUGAAAUCCCCGGGCUCAACCUGGGAACUGCAUCCAAAACUGGCAAGCUAGAGUAUGGUAGAGGGUGGUGGAAUUUCCUGUGUAGCGGUGAAAUGCGUAGAUAUAGGAAGGAACACCAGUGGCGAAGGCGGCCACCUGGACCAGCACUGACACUGAGGCACGAAAGCGUGGGGAGCAAACAGG
rnacentral:rRNA from 1 species